CUGGGAUCACAGGCGUGAGCCACCGUGCCCGGCCACCAUCUUUUCUCUUCUAGGGACAGAGGGCCUAGGGAGAGGAGGUUGAGCUCCCGGUAUGGACUCAGGAAAUUAGCUGCAGCUUUUUCUGACAGGAAAAUUCUAAAGUCCUAGUCAGCUCACCAGGAGGGGCAUCUGGCUGCAUUUUCCUUCAGCCUGUCAGAGAGGCAGUUCCAGAGUCCUCUCCCCUCUUCUUCAAAUGGGCAAACCAGUGCCUUCCCGCAUGUACCACUCACCCCUUCCAGCGCAUCUGCCCACUCUCUCCCUCCACACACUCACCCUGGCUUUCCCCUUGGACUCUUUGAACAGGCUGCUCCCCCUCUGAAAUGCUCUUCCCCAGACCACACCCCGCCCCCAGCCUCAGAUCAAAUCCUGCCCCUGCCAAUUUCUAGCCAUGUGGCCCUGGGCAAGUCACCGCAUCUCUUUGAACCUCAGUCUCCCCAUCUGUAAAAUGGAGUUAAUACUACCUCCCACACUGGUAAGAAUGAGGAGAUAACACAUGAAGCGCUGAGUCCAGUUUCUGUCACAAGGGAGAGGCUCAACACCCCUUCACCCCUUCUAGAAUCCCUUCCAACACCUGCUUGCCACUUACUGAUUUGCCUUAUUUAUUGCUUCAUAAUAAAUCAAAAGACAGAUAUUCACUGAGUACUCACUGUAUGUUUAACACUGGCAAGUUCUAGAGAGAUCCAAGGGGUGGUUCUUUGCCCACCUGGAAACAGCUACCAACCUGGAUGGGCAGGCAACAUCUGUAACGAUGGAAUAUCCAACUGCUCGGACAGCAUGGCUGUCCCACUGGGCUGAAGACAGAGAAACAAACAGAGAAAUUGAGUAACUUCCCCAAGGUCACAGAGGCACUCAUUUAACAGAUGUCUCUGGAGCAACCACUACGCCAGCCUGUGCCAGGCACUGAGGAUGAGGAUACAGCCACACCCUCAUGGAGCUUACAUCCCCGUGGGCGGGGGAGACAGUAACCAGGAACAGCAGCCAGAGGUCCGAGACAGAAGGAGACCCAGGUGCUAGAGCUGGGCUGGGGUAAGGCUGAAUCCUUAAGCCUGGGAGGAGAAGCGAGUGCUCCUGGACAGAGCCCCACGCUGGGAAGUUUCCCGCCUGAGGUGCGGACAUCAAGGAGCCCCUAGUAAGAAACACAGGACUGAGCCUCAGACUCAGAACACAGCAAGGUGGAGUCUACAUUCAGGGCUAUGAAGAUCAGAAGGUGCUGGGGAGAGAUGUGGGCAGUACAUGAGGGGAGAGUGGUUUUAUAACCGUCCCAGCCAUCCAAGGUGGCGCUGGCUGCCUUGGGAGAAAGUGAGCUGCCUAUCAACUAAGACAUUCAAAUAGAGGCUGCAGAGGUUCAUCAUCCUCUCACUGAAUAUUCACUGAGUACCUUCUGUAGGUGGCCCAAUCCAGGUAGCAAAUGAGGGUGCCACUAUCGAACCACAUGGCAUUUUUUUUUUUUUGAGACGGAGUCUCACUCUGUCGUCCAGGCUGGAGUGCAGUGGCGCUAUCUCAGUUCACUGCAAGCUCUGCCUCCCGGGUUCACGCCAUUCUCCUGCCUCAGCCUCCCGAGUAGCUGGGACUACAGGCGCCCGCCACCAUGCCCGACCAAUUUUUUUGGUAUUUUUAGUAGAGGCAGGGUUUCACUGUGUUAGCCAGGAUGGUCUCGAUCUGCUGACCUUGUGAUCUGCCCGCCCGCCUAGGCCUCCCAAAGUGCAGGGAUUACAGGCGUGAGCCACCGCGCCCGGCCUUUUUCUUUUUCUUUUUUUUUUUUGAGACAGAGUCUUGCUCUGUUGCCCAGGCUGGAGUACAGUGGUGCGAUCUGCGCUCACUGCAACCACUCCGCCUCCCGAGUUCAAGCGAUUCUCCUGCCUCAGCCUCCUGAGUAGCUGGGAUUACAGGCACCCGCCACCACACCUGGCUACUUUUUUGUAUUUUUAGUAGAGAUGGGGUUUCGCCAUGUUGGCCAGGCUGGUCUGGAACUCCCGACCUCAGGUGAUCCUCCCGCCUAGGCCUCCCAAAGUGCUGGGAUUACAAGCAUGAGCCACCGCACGGGUGGCCCACAUGGCAAUUUAAAGUCCCUUCCAGGCCUGAUAUCCAAGACAAAGUUAAUCCAGGCAGGGUUCUUGGAGAAGGCAGAAGAGAGGAAGAGGAAGGGCUUCUAUGAGGGGCUGGGAUGGGGCAGACCUGAGGCUCUGGAGCCGGCUGAAUCCUUGGGCAAGCUGCUGCUAGACACCAGCCCCCACCCCAGGGGGUGUAGAGGCUUAGGUCCUGGGGGUGCGGGACGGCAAAGAGAGCCAGACAGCUUCUUAGAAAGUGGCAGGCAGGUGAGCGAGCUCCCCAGUGAUAAUUAAGGAACAAAGGUGCCGAGGUGCAGGGAGCCUGCGCGGGCCUCUGGGGCAGGCGGACUAAUGGGAGCCUGAGGAGAGGUAAUAACCAGCGGCCGAGUGGAGCAGACAGCCCGGCGUCGCAACGCCCACGAGCCGCCCCCUCGCCCUCCUUCGCCAGAACAAUGACUGCAGCACCCAGCUGGGGUGAAAACAUGGAUGCUGACUGCGAGCUGCUCCCGGCUUUCCAAUGAGGUUGUUGCGGGAUGUGGGUUUGCAGGAGCAGGGGUCUAGGGGAGCUGAGGAGCCUGGAGGUGGAGGGAGGUGGGUCAGGGUGAGGUCAGGGAUUCGCCCGGGAUUCUGAAGGUGCAUAGGUGCCUGGGAGGAGAUGCCUUGCCUAGAGGUAAAGGCAGCACUGUUCCUCCAACCGUGUUCUGGUGACUCACGUCCCCACGUAAUAGAGGUAGCCACUGAGGCAAGAGCUCUGCGCUUGGACUCCUGGGGUCUGGCUAUGCUUUGCAUUGUACUGUGACUCUGGGCAAGGUUCUGGGAGCCUCGGCUUCUUCACUUGUUGAAACGGAAACAAGAAGGAUCAUGACGGGUGGCUAGGAUGGCUCAGGGAGCUGGUGUAUGGGAAAGGCCCUCGCUCACAGCAACCCCCAAAACUGGUGUCCCCAGACUGGUCAGAAAUCAGAACCUCACAGGGGCCGGGCACUGUGGCUCAUGCCUGUAAUCCCAGCACUUUGGGAGGCCGAGGCGGGAAGAUCGCUUGAGCCCAGGAGUUCAAGACCAGCCUGGGCAACACAACAAAACCCUGUCUCUACAAAAAAUAAAAAUAAUUUAAAAUGAGCCCAACGUGGUGGAGCAUGCCUGUGGUCCUAGCCAUUCAGGAGGCUGAGGUGGGAGGAUUGCUUAAACCCAGGAGGUGAAGGCUGCAGUGAGCCAUGUUCACACUACAGCACUCCAGCCUGGGCAACAGAGUGAGAGCCUGUCUCAAAAGAAAAAAAGAGAGAAUGUCACAGGGAGCCACACGCCAGGCCACUCCUCCACCCCAAGCUGCAACAACAAAUUCCCUCACAAAGCCUCACUCAGCCCUUGGACGUCCCCAAUCCCAUCUCCUACACACACAUACCCACACACACGCACACACACCUGUGUGUCACACCUGGGACAGCAAAAUCCCACAGGGUCAUGAGUAUCUUGAAUGUUUGCUUCCCAGCUAUACUCCCAAAUAGAGGCCCACAAAGUCACCCCAACACCAAGUCACCCUGUGGUGUGCACUCCUGCUCCCCACAUCAGACCUCGCUGAUGAAGGAGUAGUGAACUCAGUCGAUACUCAUAGACACCCAGGUCUGCACAUACACCCACAGACACUCCUGCAUGUGCCUAAAGCUUUGGAAAUGGGCUUGAAAUAUCACAGAGUUCAACUCCUGCUUCAAGACUAGAGACCAUUCAACGCUGUCACAACUGAUGGUUGUCUAGUCUUUGGAGGUUUCUGCUUGCAUGCACAUUGUACGUGUUUUCACAUGCACACACCCCCAUUGAUGCAUUUGGCUAGUCUAGUAAUUGGUCUCCUCCCUUCUAUGUCCCUCCUUACCCCAGUCUGAUCCAGCAUAGUGCUGUCUGAUUCAUCUUUCCAAGACUCAGCCUUCCAUGUGUCUCUCUGCUGCUCCAACACCCAACAUGGCUCCCUACUGCCCUCUAAGAUAAAGUCCAAGUGCUUCACGCCACCAUUCCUCCCUCCAGUCCUUUAGUGACUCCCCCAACUUUAUAGGACCCAAGUAACCUUAUUGAGGACAUUCGUGCUAUCCCGCAAUCCAGUCCUUGAAUCCCCUUCACAAGUUGUCAAGCCUUCCUUUGAGGUUCCGGUGAUAAGAACUCGCUACCUCCUGAGCUAGGCCAUUUUAUUUCAUUACAGGCAGCUGCAGCUCUUAGAGCUUAAUCUAGUAAAGGCCAUCUAGGCUGGUUCAACUUCUGCUGCUUCCCGGGAUGUUUUCUAUAACCUCUUGCCCCUUGGUUCUGCCUUCAGCAUUCCCUGCCUUCAUGCGAGCUGUUGUUUUGCAUCUGAGACCUCUUAGGGACAAGGUGCCUGAAAUAGCACUGGUGCUGAAAUAGCACUGGGUGUCUAUCGAUGGUACAUAUCUAUAUGCACAUUCAUGUCCAGAUGUGUGCAGUCUGUCCCCUUGCAUUCUGGGUGCACACAGUGUCGGAGAUCAUUUCAGAAAGCCCCACUGUGCCUGCUCUUUGCCAUGAUGUUUGGGGACCAUGGGCCUGGGACAAAGGUGCUCUGAAUUCCCCAUUUCCAUUCUUAACUCCCUUCAGGAGAGCAAGCACAGCUCAGGGAGGGGUCAGAGGUCCCUUCUCUGCUCUUCUACAGCCCCCAAACUGUCCACAGCACCAGUGAAUUUUGUGAUAUGAUCGCAACUCCCACACUCCCACUCUCUGGCACCUCCCUGCAUUAUCUAUCUUUCUCCCUAGCACACAUUCCCUUCUACAGGCUAUGUCACUUGCUUAUUUAUUUUAGUUCCAUUCUGUCUCUCUCUUCUCAAAUGUGAGCUCCUUGAGGACAGAGAUUUGGGCUGUUCUGUUCAUAUCUGGACCCCUAGUGCCUACAGUGGUGCUUGGCACACAAGGUUCACUGUCUGCAGGUUGAAUGGAGGUGGUGGGUUUCUUCUCCACCUACCCUGGACAGUGAGCUCUAGGAGGGCAGAGUCUACAUUCCAGACUUGCCUGCCCAGUGCCCAGGACCAUGUGGGGGCACAAUAGGAGCUCAAGUCCAUGUUUGUGGGCUAAAUGAUCAGGGACUGUCAACGGUGUUUCUUUCUUUUUGUUAAAAAAAAAAAAAUUUUGAGACAAGGAUCUCACUGUGUUCCCUAGGCUAGUCUCGAACUCCUGGCCUCAAGUGAUUUUCCCAUCUCAGCCUCCUGAGUAGCUGGGAUUACAGGUGCGUGCCAGCAUGCCCAGCCCUGUGAGCAGUGUUCCCGUCCAUCCCCAGCACAUCGAGAGCUGCCUUUGGGCACAGCCACGGGCAGGAUGGGAGAGGGGAUAGAGGCAGAGAGGAGGAUCCCCAGGCUCUCUCUCUGAUGGGGUCUGCACACACACCCAGCUCCUAGACGGAGAGUUCCUCUGGCUGACCAAACUACAGCCUUGAGGGGUGGGCGUGAAGGGAGGGUAGGUGUCACAGCCGGUUUCUCAGGUGUCCCGGGAGAGGGAGGAGGAGCUGAUGGUCGUGGCUCAGAGGGGAUAGAGAUAGAGCAGGAAUGCUCACCUUUGCACACCCCCAGCGGACCAGGGAGUCGGCCCCUUUCUGAUUCUUUUGAAUAGGGUACCUUGGGCUUCAAUCACCCUCUCUGACCCCAUUUCCUCCAGCUGGAAAAUGGAGCAAAUAAUAGUCCCUGCUUGUAAUCAGAGCCCAGAGUGGACCCUCGAAUGUUCUCAAUCAUUGUGAGGACAUCGAUGAUGACAAUCAUGAUGAAAAAAAUAAAUAGAAUGAAACAGGGGACCCAGCCUCUCACUUCCCAGUCCCAGUGGUUGUCUCAGACUCCUCCUGGCUUUGGGUUAAAGGAGACAGCAUCCCAUGGGCCUUAGGGGAGCUGAAGGCUGGAUUGGGGAGUCAGGGAUCCAGAGAGAGGAGAUAGCUGGGCCCGUGGGAGGCAGGGCCCUUUCUUUCUUUCAGGAGAAAGAAGAGCCUGCAGCUGAAUCAGCCCCUCCUAGUCCCCUUGCCACCAGCACCAGGCAUUAUGGGCCAUGGCAGGGACACAGAGGGUGGCGGCAUCAGGACAGAGCCAGCUACCAUGUCGGGAGCUUGGGGUGGUCCAAUGCUGUGGUUCCACCAGCUCUGGGCAGAGCAUGUCCUUGUCCUGGAUGGCCCAGGGACAGUUAAGGAAGCACCCGGGACAAGGAGUCAAGAGACCCAAACUCCAGCCCAGGGUCCUCUUCUCGCUCACCUCAGGGCAAGUCACUCCCCACGUCUGAGCCUCAGCUUCCUCCUCCGGCAAAUGGGAGAAUUGGAUUAGGUGGUCUCUGAUGCCACCCGACAGGUAGGCCAUCGCUCUCUAGGGAAAGUGAGGUGAAGUCCCUCAGCACAGUGCCUGGCACACAGCAGGUACUUGGUAAAUAUUGGGACUCCCACUCAUUUGAAGUGUCCUCUGAGGAAAGUAAGGGCAGGGUUCCCUUCACACUCCACCUGCCCUGGCUUCUGCCAAAAAGAACAUCCUUCUCCAGGGAGCCAGAAGCUGUGAGUGAGGUAUGGGUUGGCCUCCUAGGCUGGUCCCUGCCUCUUUUCAGCUCAGCCACUUCCAUCCCACCCCCAACCUUGGCUGCCUCCAACAUCCUGCCAUUUCCCUUCUUCCCCCACCUCAGAGCCACCAGCUGAGCCUGGAUUUUCUGCAAGAGGCCCCUCUCCACUUUCUGCCCUCCCCACUGAGCCCCUGGCUGCCACUCACCACCUUGGCCCUCAGAGAUAGCGGCUGGCAGGGGUGCCAAUGGGGGUUCCCACCAACCUCCUCUCAGACCUUGGUUCUCUGGGGCCUUCUCAGGUGGCUUCACCCCUGGGCAAAGCCCAAGUCCUCAGCUAGUUUUCCCUAGAAUUUUGAGUUUCUUCAGUGCUCAAGCCCUGCAGACUUCAGAGAUAUCAAAACCCCAUCAUCCCAGCACUGAGCUCUGAGCCCCACACAGAGGCCCUGCCCCCUCCCUACUCCCAGAGCUCCCAAGUUCCUGCUCAAGAAAAGGUCCUGAUCCAUAAAGAGGCAGUCCACAAACCUCCCGUGUGGCAGAAGAACUUUUUUUUUUUUUGUCUCCAGGGAGACAUCCUGCAAAGUUUUAUUCUUUAUAGGAAGUCGGUGCCCAGCACGUUCCCUGUCUACAGCCAAAUAAAAAGCUGCUCUCUCUAGAGGGGUGGCAGCAGUCCUGCAUGGUCCAGUGAGACUCAGAAGGUUCCAGGAGACCUUCAGUCCUAAGACCCUUUCAGUCAUUGUCUUCUGAGUCUGACUCUUCUGCAGACUCGGAUGCGCCCUCUGGCAAGUCAUCUCCCAUCUGCUGGAAACUUCCCUACUGUGAAUCCCACA
rnacentral:lncRNA from 10 species